UACAGAGGUCUCAAGCGUUGUUCGGAUUCAUUGGGCGUAAAGGGUGCGUAGGUGGCGAGGUAAGUUGGAUGUGAAAUCCCGGGGCUCAACCCCGGAACUGCAUUCAAUACUGCCUUGCUUGAGUACUGGAGAGGAGAUUGGAAUUUACGGUGUAGCAGUGAAAUGCGUAGAUAUCGUAAGGAAGACCAGUGGCGAGGGCGGAUCUCUGGACAGUUACUGACACUGAGGCACGAAGGCCAGGGGAGCAAACGGG
rnacentral:rRNA from 1 species